AUGGUCCUAUCACAUUGCAACACCGGUCCUCGUACAAUCAGCGAAGUUAAGCAACGUUGAGUCUGGUCUGUACCUAGGAGGGUGACCGCUUGGGAAUACCAAGGACUGUA